rnacentral:miRNA from 1 species
UAAAAAAUUGUCCAGUAGCAUCUUAGAGACCAACUAAGUUUGUUCUUAGUACACUGUAGUGUAUCUGAAGAAGUGUGCAUGCACACGAAAGCUUAUACCAAGAACAAACUUAGUUGGUCUCUAAGGUGCUACUGGACAAUUUUUUA